GAUAAAAGAACAUUCAAAAAGUGAAACUUUGAUGAAGAAAGAAGAAAAGAGAAUGGAAGAGUGAAGACCCACCUGCAGGAAGGUGAAAAGAAGUUGAUUUGUUGGCCCUCAUGGUAUGAGAACGAGCUAAUGCUUCAGAAAUAUUUGUGUUGCAAGUGAAGAGAAACACAGUAGAAAGGAAUAAUAGCCUAGACAGAGUUGAAAGGUUUGUGAGAUGGUAAGAACAGAGACAGGUCUAUAAGUAGAGGUGAUGAACAACAACAUACAGAGACCAUGGCGGCUAUCUAUCAUUUCUCCUUUUUCCUUAAAAAUCAAAUUUGCUUCUUCAUCUUGACCACAUUUUGGGUCAGUCAAUUAUUCAAACAAGUUGUGGGCAAGCAAAACAAACAACGACUACGGCAGAAGAAUGAAAGCAUUCAACAAACAAACACCUGAAUCGAGUCAAUUCCUUCGGCAUCCAAAAUUAUUAGUUUGUGACCCUUAGAGGGUCAAAAAUAUAAGGCAAAUGCUAAAUAGUGUCCUCGGGGC
rnacentral:lncRNA from 1 species